GGGCUGCCCUAAUAAUGGCAAGUCGAGCGAAACAGAUGAGAAAGCUUGCUUCUCUGAUGUUAGCGGCGGACGGGUGAGUAACACGUGGGUAACCUACCUAUAAGACUGGGAUAACUCCGGGAAACCGGGGCUAAUACCGGAUAAUAUUUUGAACCGCAUGGUUCAAUAGUGAAAGACGGUUUCGGCUGUCACUUAUAGAUGGACCCGCGCCGUAUUAGCUAGUUGGUAAGGUAAUGGCUUACCAAGGCGACGAUACGUAGCCGACCUGAGAGGGUGAUCGGCCACACUGGAACUGAGACACGGUCCAGACUCCUACGGGAGGCAGCAGUAGGGAAUCUUCCGCAAUGGGCGAAAGCCUGACGGAGCAACGCCGCGUGAGUGAUGAAGGUCUUCGGAUCGUAAAACUCUGUUGUUAGGGAAGAACAAAUUUGUUAGUAACUGAACAAGUCUUGACGGUACCUAACCAGAAAGCCACGGCUAACUACGUGCCAGCAGCCGCGGUAAUACGUAGGUGGCAAGCGUUAUCCGGAAUUAUUGGGCGUAAAGCGCGCGUAGGCGGUUUCUUAAGUCUGAUGUGAAAGCCCACGGCUCAACCGUGGAGGGUCAUUGGAAACUGGGAAACUUGAGUGCAGAAGAGGAGAGUGGAAUUCCAUGUGUAGCGGUGAAAUGCGCAGAGAUAUGGAGGAACACCAGUGGCGAAGGCGGCUCUCUGGUCUGUAACUGACGCUGAUGUGCGAAAGCGUGGGGAUCAAACAGGAUUAGAUACCCUGGUAGUCCACGCCGUAAACGAUGAGUGCUAAGUGUUAGGGGGGUUUCCGCCCCUUAGUGCUGCAGCUAACGCAUUAAGCACUCCGGCCUGGGGGAGUACGACCGCAAGGUUGAAACUCAAA
rnacentral:rRNA from 1 species